UGGGGAAUAUUGCACAAUGGGCGCAAGCCUGAUGCAGCCAUGCCGCGUGUGUGAAGAAGGCCUUCGGGUUGUAAAGCACUUUCAGCGGGGAGGAAGGCGAUAAGGUUAAUAACCUUGUCGAUUGACGUUACCCGCAGAAGAAGCACCGGCUAACUCCGUGCCAGCAGCCGCGGUAAUACGGAGGGUGCAAGCGUUAAUCGGAAUUACUGGGCGUAAAGCGCACGCGGGCGGUCUGUCAAGUCGGAUGUGAAAUCCCCGGGCUCAACCUGGGAACUGCAUUCGAAACUGGCAGGCUAGAGUCUUGUAGAGGGGGGGAGAAUUCCAGGGGUAGCGGUGAAAUGCGUAGAGAUCUGGAGGAAUACCGGUGGCGAAGGCGGCCCCCUGGACAAAGACUGACGCUCAGGUGCGAAAGCGUGGGGAGCAAACAGG
rnacentral:rRNA from 1 species